CCUCGGGAGGCUGCAGUGGGGAAUAUUGGACAAUGGGCGAAAGCCUGAUCCAGCCAUGCCGCGUGUGUGAAGAAGGCCUUCGGGUUGUAAAGCACUUUCAGUGGGGAAGAAAGCCUUGGGGCUAAUACCCUCGAGGAAGGACAUCACCCACAGAAGAAGCACCGGCUAACUCCGUGCCAGCAGCCGCGGUAAUACGGAGGGUGCGAGCGUUAAUCGGAAUUACUGGGCGUAAAGCGCGCGUAGGCGGUCUGAUAAGCCGGUUGUGAAAGCCCCGGGCUCAACCUGGGAACGGCAUCCGGAACUGUCAGGCUAGAGUGCAGGAGAGGAAGGUAGAAUUCCCGGUGUAGCGGUGAAAUGCGUAGAGAUCGGGAGGAAUACCAGUGGCGAAGGCGGCCUUCUGGACUGACACUGACGCUGAGGUGCGAAAGCGUGGGUAGCAAACAGGAUUAGAUACCCUAGUAGUC
rnacentral:rRNA from 1 species